CUUGAACGCUAGCGGGAUGCUUUACACAUGCAAGUCGAAUGAGUAGCGGACGGGUGAGUAAUAAAUCGGAACGUGCCCAGUAGCUGGGCAUAACUACUCGAAAGAGUGGCUAAUACCGCAUACCACUGGAGCGGCCGAUAUCGGAUUAGCUAGUUGGUGGGGUAAAGGCGCACCAAGGCAACGAUCUGUAGCUGGUCUGCGAGGACGACCAGCCACACUGGGACUGAGACACGGCCCAGAGUCCUACGGGAGGCAGCAGUGGGGAAUUUUGGACAAUGGGGGAAACCCUGAUCCAGCCAUCCCGCGUGUAUGAGAAGGCCUUCGGGUUGUAAAGUACUUUUGGCAGAGAAGCGGUAUCUGCAGAAUAAGCACCGGCUAACUACGUGCCAGCAGCCGCGGUAAUUC
rnacentral:rRNA from 1 species